rnacentral:lncRNA from 1 species
ACAACAAUAGCAAGAAUAUUUUUAAAAGCUACUGCGGUCCCAACACCAAUUACCUUUUUUUUUUAAACACAGAUUCACAAACAUGGUUUAGGUGUGUAGGGCACACAGAUCAGUCUGGAUGAUGCCAGGCAUCACGCGCCAAUACUGAAGAUUAUCACUACCACCAAACAAGAUGUUUGGUGGAGACACACAGAGUCAAACACUUCCAAAAUCCAAGCUUUUACAGUUGCAAUGCUGCUUUUUAGCUGUAUCCAGGGCUCUUCUCUGGUGGCAUUUUAAAAAAGUUACUGGAGGCAGCAAUAGUGGCUUUCUCGGCUGCUGGUGUUUUCCCUGUCGAUUCAGAGUUCUGGGAUCUCAGGGACGGUGUUGCUGGUAGCUCUGACUCUGCUGCAUCCAUGUGGACAGAUAAAGUUACCUGAUGUUGGGCUGGACAUGGAGGUUGCAGCUGGCUUUCGUUUCCUCUUGAUGUCCCUUGAACAUGGUGGUCCCAGGUGUACAUUUGCUUGCCUAUAGAGAAAUGAAAACAAGUAAAACUUUGUUCUAGUAUCACUUUCCUGUAAGACACUGGCCAAUCACCCUCCAACCUAUUCAGUAGGGUACCCAUAUUGCAACUGUCCAUGCAUAUUGUUUCCACUACAGUAGUAAGUUCAUAAAGUUAGGAACGCAAAACAGUCUGAUGCAUUUUCAAAAUUAUUAUUUCCUUAUCAAAGUGCUGUGACAACAGCUGAACUGGCUGAUGGCAAUACAGCCUUUCUGCACCUGUAAACAGGCUGAGAGGCACGACCAGUCACAGUAACUGCUAAGUCCGAAGCCUACUGAUGACCACUUCAGUUUGACCAUUUGCCAACUAAGAAGAAACCUGCAUUGUUGGGACUGACUUGAACUGAGCACUUCUCCAAGUUCUAGACGGAGGAAGAAGAGAAGUUUUAUUCAGAAAAGACAGUCUUGGGAUCAAACCACAGAACUUUCUCAAAUACAAUCCAUAAUGAAUAAAAAUGCAUAAUUUAGCAAUGAUACUGUGUUCAAAUCCCUGCUUUGUCCGAGAUAUCUGAGUUUCUUUCGCAAGUUCCUUGGUCACUCUCUGCAUCAAAUCUGACGUGCAAAAUGCAGAACUAAAAUGCAAAUAAGGUUGUGAAGUGCUUACAUGGUGCAAAGAUUGGAUCCACAUGAAUUUUGACGAUUAAGCGCUGAAAAGCUUCUGUGUCUUUAAAGCCUGUUAUUUGAUUAACAAAAAAAAUCCUGAAAGUUUAACAAACACAUUUAUCAAGUACUGAAAUCUGCAAAUAACAAAAGGCAAAGUUUACGGCUUUGUAUUUCCAUGCCAAAAUCUACAAAACCUUUAAAAAAAAAAAAGAAAAAAAGAAAAAGGCA